AUGAUUUUUCUGUGGAGUGGAAUGUUUAACUAGUGACUUGGACCUUUGCCCACUAGAAUACAAUUAUUGAGAAAACCAGAAGGGUUUUUAGAGUCCUUAUUCUUGAAUUAUAUUCGGGAAGGAUCAGCAAUUUAAAAAAAUAAUCUUAGCCUUCUGUUCUUGCUUCUAAUUCCCAUGCAUCUUGUAUGUAGAAUUUGAAUAGUCUUGUUGUGUACCCAUACAUCUGUAACUUGAAUGUAGCUUGAAAUGUAUUUGUGCAUUGACCUGAAAGUUUAUAUGUGAAUUUGUCAGCAGUUUCCAUGUUCCUACUCGAGUGUUUUUUUUUUAACUAUGGUGAAUCAUCAUCACUUUCUUUCUAUCUAAUGCUUGAAAAUAAUUUGUAAUUACAUUUCUAAAUACCUCUUUUAAGUGACUUUCCAAUGACAACCUAUUGGAAUAUAGCACCCCGUAACUGACUGAUGGGGGGUUAGUUGAUACCUGGAAUCUUCCACAUGCACUUAUUGUGUCUAGUGGUAUAAAACAUAAAAGGCAGCCUGGCCUUUAUCCUGGAAACGUACAGUUGAAAAGAAGACCUGACAUGGAUAGUUUCAUUAAUGUACCUUUAUGCCUGUUGACAUGGAAAAAACACUGCAUACUUUUGGGGAGCUACAGUAGAAAAGAGGCCUGCUUUUUCAUUAAGCAUUUACAAAGCCUUUUUUCUCUACUGUGUUCUGAGGAGGAUUUAAAGAGGCUCGUCAGGGAUCCAGAAGAUACAGUAAGAUGUGCAAAACUCUUUAAGAAUUGUGGAAACAGGUUUCCAGGCUCCUGCUUAUCAUCUUAUUUUGGAAGGAAUUUUAAUAUUCUGGAUAAUCAAACUUCUUUUUUCUAAAACUUAUAAAUUACAAGAAUGAUCUGAUCUUACAGUCAAGGAAAAGGAAGAACUGAUUGAAGAGUAGCAGCCAGAACCUCUUGUCCCUCCUGUCUCGAAAGACCAUCCUGCUCUCAACUACAACAUCGUUUCAGGGUAAAUUGGUUUGCUGUUCAGGGACUUAUGUUUGGUUUCCUGUAGGUAAAAUCACUUAAGUGGUUUAUAUAGUGUUCCUUUUUAAACUGAAACAAGACUUUUAGCAGUUCCUGGAGAUGAAAAGCGAACUGCUUUAUUUCCUAGUAUAAAACUUUCUUUUAGGUAUGGUAUGGGCAUU